GGCGAAAACAUACACUCAAGCCCCUGAACCUACGUCUGCCGGAUAGGGUUCCCGGGCCGCGAUGCACUGACAUCGCCAGGGUGCAGAAAGAAAUGCCUGCAUCUCCCGAUUUGGAAAGGUGUUUAUGGUCUCUCAAC
rnacentral:ncRNA from 2 species